AGAGUGAACGCUGGCGGCGUGGAUUAGGCAUGCAAGUCGAGCGAUCUCGCAAGGGAUAGCGGCAAACGGGUUAGGAACACGUAAACAAUCUUCCUUAUAUCCUGACAUAGCUCUAUGAAAAUAGAGGUAAUAUCAGAUGGUAUCCUUAGAAGGCAUCUUCAUAGGAUUAAAGAAGGGGACCGCAAGGCCUUUCGAUAUAAGAUGAGUUUGCGUAGCAUCAGCUAGUUGGUAGGGUAAUGGCCUACCAAGGCUAAGACGCUUAGCUGGUCUGAGAGGACGAUCAGCAACACUGGGACUGAGACACUGCCCAGACUCCACGGGAGCUGCAGUCGAGAAUAUUUAGCAAUGGACGAAAGUCUAGACUAUGCGACGCCGCGUGAGGAUGAAGGA
rnacentral:rRNA from 1 species